rfam:Glossina pallidipes unplaced genomic scaffold Scaffold391, whole genome shotgun sequence.
CCUUCGAUAGCUCAGUUGGUAGAGCGGUGGACUGUAGAAGUGCCAAAUGCAAUAUAGAAAUCCAUAGGUCGCUGGUUCAAAUCCGGCUCGAAGGA